rnacentral:rRNA from 1 species
CCUACGGGAGGCUGCCGUGGGGAAUCUUCGACAAUGGGCGCAAGCCUGAUCUAGCCAUGCCGCGUGAGCGAUGAAGGCCUUAGGGUUGUAAAGCUCUUUCAGAUGGGAAGAUAAUGACUGUACCAUCAGAAGAAGCCCCGGCUAACUCCGUGCCAGCAGCCGCGGUAAUACGGAGGGGGCUAGCGUUGUUCGGAAUUACUGGGCGUAAAGCGCACGUAGGCGGACUGGAAAGUCAGCGGUGAAAUCCCAGGGCUCAACCUUGGAACUGCCUUUGAAACUCCCAGUCUUGAGGUCGAGAGAGGUGAGUGGAAUUCCGAGUGUAGAGGUGAAAUUCGUAGAUAUUCGGAGGAACACCAGUGGCGAAGGCGGCUCACUGGCUCGAUACUGACGCUGAGGUGCGAAAGCGUGGGGAGCAAACA